rnacentral:rRNA from 1 species
UACGGAGGGUGCAAGCGUUAUCCGGAUUCACUGGGUUUAAAGGGUGCGUAGGCGGGCAUUUAAGUCAGUGGUGAAAUACCUGAGCUUAACUUGGGAACUGCCAUUGAUACUAUUUGUCUUGAAUGUCGUGGAGGUUAGCGGAAUAUGUCAUGUAGCGGUGAAAUGCUUAGAUAUGACAUAGAACACCUAUUGCGAAGGCAGCUAACUAUGCGAAUAUUGACGCUGAGGCACGAAAGCGUGGGGAUCAAACAGG